rnacentral:rRNA from 1 species
UACGGAAGGCAGCAGUGGGGAAUAUUGCACAAUGGGCGCAAGCCUGAUGCAGCCAUGCCGCGUGUAUGAAGAAGGCCUUCGGGUUGUAAAGUACUUUCAGUCGUGAGGAAGGUGUUAAGGUUAAUAACCUUAGCAAUUGACGUUAGCGACAGAAGAAGCACCGGCUAACUCCGUGCCAGCAGCCGCGGUAAUACGGAGGGUGCGAGCGUUAAUCGGAAUUACUGGGCGUAAAGGGCACGCAGGCGGUUAAUUAAGUUGGAUGUGAAAUCCCCGGGCUUAACCUGGGAAUGGCAUUCAAGACUGGUUAGCUAGAGUCUUGUAGAGGGGGUAGAAUUCCAUGUGUAGCGGUGAAAUGCGUAGAGAUGUGGAGGAAUACCGGUGGCGAAGGCGGCCCCGUGGACAAAGGACUGACGCUCAUGUGCGAAAGCGUGGGGAGCGAAACAGGGAUUAGAUACC